AUUGAACGCUGGCGGCAGGCCUAACACAUGCAAGUCGAACGGUAACAGGAAGAAGCUUGCUUCUUUGCUGACGAGUGGCGGACGGGUGAGUAAUGUCUGGGAAACUGCCUGAUGGAGGGGGAUAACUACUGGAAACGGUAGCUAAUACCGCAUAACGUCGCAAGACCAAAGAGGGGGACCUUCGGGCCUCUUGCCAUCGGAUGUGCCCAGAUGGGAGUAGCUAGUAGGUGGGGUAACGGCUCACCUAGGCGACGAUCCCUAGGUGGUCUGAGAGGAGGACCAGCCACGCUGGAGCUGAGACACGGUCCAGGCUCCUACGGGAGGCAGCAGUGGGGAAUAUUGCACACUGGGCGCAAGCCUGAUGCAGCCAUGCCGCGUGUAUGAAGAAGGCCUUCGGGUUGUAAAGUACUUUCCGCGGGGAGGAAGGGAGUAAAGUUAAUACCUUUGCUCAUUGACGUUACCCGCAGAAGAAGCACCGGCUAACUCCGU
rnacentral:rRNA from 1 species